rnacentral:rRNA from 1 species
GACGAACGCUGGCGGCGUGCCUAAUACAUGCAAGUUGAGCGCUGAAGGUUGGUACUUGUACCAACUGGAUGAGCAGCGAACGGGUGAGUAACGCGUGGGGAAUCUGCCUUUGAGCGGGGGACAACAUUUGGAAACGAAUGCUAAUACCGCAUAAAAACUUUAAACACAAGUUUUAAGUUUGAAAGAUGCAAUUGCAUCACUCAAAGAUGAUCCCGCGUUGUAUUAGCUAGUUGGUGAGGUAAAGGCUCACCAAGGCGAUGAUACAUAGCCGACCUGAGAGGGUGAUCGGCCACAUUGGGACUGAGACACGGCCCAAACUCCUACGGGAGGCAGCAGUAGGGAAUCUUCGGCAAUAGACGAAAGUCUGACCGAGCAACGCCGCGUGAGUGAAGAAGGUUUUCGGAUGGUAAAACUCUGUUGGUAGAGAAGAACGUUGGUGAGAGUGGAAAGCUCAUCAAGUGACGGUAACUACCCAGAAAGGGACGGCUAACUACGUG